rnacentral:misc_RNA from 1 species
GACGUCAUUUGGUAAGUUGGAAAGAUGUCUCCAUCUUCCAGAUCGAAGAGCAAGUCCAAGGACAAGGCAUCUGCAAGGGCUUCCAAGGAACAGCAGAAGGCAUCUACCAAGCCUUCUGGAUCUACCAAUACAGCGAGUGCUAAUCCAGCAAGUGCGUACAAUCCAAUCUCUGGGACAUUUCAUAACUUAGAGAUACCAUCAGCUGCCUCUUCCCACCCUUUCCAUGAUAUUGGCCGUUUCAAAAAUAUAGAUGACACAGAUGAGCAUUCCAGUAGCCCCCGUGGAACCGUAUCUGAAUGUGAUUCGGUUUCAAACAAUGGGAGUUGCUCUGGUGAGUCUGAAGAUCCAAAAGAGAAGACAGCCAAUUCUGCCCGGCAAGAAACUGUACCUGGUUUAGACAAUGACAGGAGAGAGAAGAUUCGACUGAAGAAUGAGAAGAAGCACCAGCGACAAAGGGAGAGGCGGGCACAAGAGUUGCAUGAGCGUUGCAGUGGGUAUCUGAUGUCAAGAAAACUGGAAGACCUUUCACAGCAGCUUGUGGCAAUGGGUUUUUCUCGUGAGCGGGCAACCUUGGCCCUUGUGUUGAAUGAGGGCAAGGUAGAAGAAUCAGUAAACUGGCUUUUUGAGGCAAGUGAAGAUGAAGCUCAUAGCAAGGACAUUAAACUAGGAAGCGGUUGUAACUUGAAAAUUGAUAUUCGGGAGGAGCUUGCUCAGAUCUCAGCAAUGGAGGUGAGGUACAAAUUCUCAAAGCAGGAGGUUGAAAGAGCAGUUGUUGCUUGUGAAGGUGAUCUUGAGAAGGCAGAAGAGAUCUUACAAACACAAAAGCAGGAAUCACCUGCUACUACACUAACUCCAGAAGAGACUACUGAUGCCAAUCAUCUAAAGAGAACACAAGAAAAGCCCAUGCUGUCAGCUUCGGUUGCAAUACAAAAGAGAAGAAAUGAGCGAGAUUUUAACCAUGCCAAAACUGCAAUAGAAGUGCCAAUGUAUUCAGAUCCUGGGAGCAGAAACAUGCAGUCUGUGAACCAACCCAAGUCACUUGCUGAGAAGAGGUGGUCCACAUCAGGAUCAAGUCCAUCAUCGUCAUUAGCUAGGGCAUCAGCUAUGCAAGUGACACUUCCAUCAUCAAAAUUGGAGGUCAGGCUUGGUGUUUCUGGAAAUGAAGGGAAAAAUCAUCAGCAAACACUGAGGGAACCAGUAGUUAUGAUGC